GUCUCAGUUCGGACUGUGGUCUGCAACCCGACCACACGAAGCUGGAAUCGCUAGUAAUCGCGAAUCAGAAUGUCGCGGUGAAUGCGUUCCCGGGCCUUGUACACACCGCCCGUCACACCAUGAGAGUCGGGGACACCCGAAGUCCGUAGUCUAACCGCAAGGGGACGCGGCCGAAGGUGGAUUCGAUAAUUGGGGUGAAGUCGUAACAAGGUAAC
rnacentral:rRNA from 1 species